GGAGAGGUGGCUCAGGGGUUCAGAGCACUGGCUACUCUUGAAGAGGAUCUGGGUUCAAUUCCCAGCACCUGCG
rnacentral:tRNA from 1 species